rnacentral:rRNA from 1 species
AUGCAGGUUAAACAAGAUAUUAAGAGAAUCUUUCCAGCUCCAGACAUCGACAGUUCUUUCGUCCAUUUAGGCCAUCCACUUGUUUUACCUUCUAAAGAUAGAUCGGCUGCUUAUAACUUUGUUUAUGAUAAAUUCAAGUCCAAACUUAGCACAUAUAAAGCCAACAGACUCUCUCAUGCGGCAAGAUUAACUCUCAUAAAAUAUGUUUUCUCUUCCAUUCCUGUAUAUUACAUGUCCAACAUACUUUUUUCAAAAAAGUUCCUUGCUAAACUAACAACAAUCAUUAGGAACUUUUGGUGGACAGGUAUUCAAGAUGAUCAGACUACUAGAAGCUUGUGCCUUAGGGUAUGGGCUGAUGUAUGUAUUGAGAAGAAAAUUGGUGGUCUUGGUGUUAGAAAUUUGCAGGCAAUCAACCAAGGACUUGUUCUCUCGACGGCAUGGAGAUUGGCAAAAGAGCCGCAAAGUCAGCUAGCAUUGAUUCUCAAGGCAAAGUAUCAUCAUGAUACAUCCAUUUGGAGAGCCCGGCCGAACAAACCUAAAUCUGCCUUUUGGUCUGCAAUUCUAAAGGUAAAGCCUCUUCUAAUCUCAGCCACAAUUUGCCAAAUUGUUGAUGGUGCUAGUUCUAUUUGGAGCUCGCCUUGGUUUUCCGGAUGGGAAACUAUUUAUGAUCAUCUUAUCAUUCAGCAACAAUCUUUUUCUUACCCUGCACAAGUUAAAGAUCUUUGGAUACCGGGUCAAAAGAACUGGAAUGCAAACUUGAUUAAUUCUCUUUUCACUCCUGAAUUGGCUAAUACCAUUCUACAAACUCCUAUUAUUAAGGCAAAUGGUAAGGAUAUGUUGGUUUGGAAACUAACUCCUGCAGGUGAAUUCUCUUCCAAAAGUGCUUACAAGCACUGCUUCAACAAUCUUCAGCUUCCACCAAGGCAAAGGCCCAAAAUUGUCCCUAUGCAGGUCAUUUCCCUUCUUAAUCAGGUGUGGGAGGAUAAGCAAAUGGCACCAAGAGUUCAGACAUUUGCUUGGAGGCUUCUUAGGAAAGCACUUCCUACAGGCAAGAGGGCAGGUAGGUACUCCAAACAUAUCAAUGAAAACUGCUCUAGAUGUGGACUAUUAGAAGAUGAAAUGCAUAUGUUGUUUCUCUGUCCUUUUUCUAAAGCUGCAUGGUUUUGCUAUCCCUGGUUUAUUAAAACGGAAUCUCUGGCUGAAAAUUAUCAUUCUAUUCCUGAUAUGAUUCGUGCUUUGAUUACAUCUCAACAUCCAAAAAUAAACUUGACUACUCUCUAUACUUUUCUAUGGUGUCUUUGGAAAGCUCGGAACGACUGUCUAUUUUGCAGCAAAUUAUGCAAGCCUUCCCAGGUGUAUGCUUCAGCAAAUGCAAUAAUUGAAGCAACCAAUUUAGAAGAUAAGAACUUCGCUCAGCAACAAGAAAGCGAUAAAGCUCAGGAGCAGUUGCAGGAUUCUUCAACAACCACGCAUACACAUGACUGUAAUAACCUUACAGGGAAUGUCAUCUUUUGCGACGCAGCCUGGGAGAGACGCACAGAUUCAGAGCUGGGCCAUGCUGGCUUAGGAGUAAUCAUCACCAUGCAAGACAAUCGGCACCUCCAACGACUACACGUCUCUGCGCUUUCGCCUCCAGUUUCAUCACCCCUCCAGGCUGAGACUUAUGGGCUGCUACUAGCUACUAAGUUAGCAGAUCUUCUGCAGGUUCAGAACCCUCACUUUUGCACCGACUGCUCGGUGUUAGUUUCGGCGGCAAGGUCAUCAACGGUAUUUGCUGCUCCAGGAUGUUGGGAGAACAGACCUCUCCUUGCAGAGAUCCAAGCCUCUCCCUCUUUUAGUCGUAACAAGAUCACUCACAUCAACAGAAGCAACAAUGUAAAAGCUGAUCAUCAAGCUCGAUUAGCUUUGCGGAUUCAGUCAAGGUCCUUAGCUCUUCGUUGCUUAUGUACACAAGCAGAUCAAGGUCAAUGUCCCGGAAAGGACAUAGUUUCUGGUUCUAGCAUGAGUCCCUUCAUGCUUCUUUCUGUAAAAUGC